rnacentral:tRNA from 1 species
AGGUAUUUUGCUCAAUGGUAGAGCACUGUGCUUAGCAUGCACAAGGUCCUGGGUUCAAUCCCCAGUACCUC